rnacentral:rRNA from 1 species
UACAGAGGGUGCGAGCGUUAAUCGGAAUUACUGGGCGUAAAGGGCGCGUAGGCGGUGAGAUGUGUGUGAUGUGAAAGCCCUGGGCUUAACCUGGGAAGAGCAUGGCAAACUAUCUGACUGGAGUAUAAGAGAGGGUGGCGGAAUUUCCGGUGUAGCGGUGAAAUGCGUAGAGAUCGGAAGGAACGUCGAUGGCGAAGGCAGCCACCUGGCUUAAUACUGACGCUGAAGCGCGAAAGCGUGGGGAGCGAACAGG